rnacentral:rRNA from 1 species
GACGAACGCUGGCGGCGCGCUUAACACAUGCAAGUCGAACGAUGAAGCCGGAGCUUGCUCUGGUGAAUUAGUGGCGAACGGGUGAGUAACACGUGAGUAACCUGCCCUUGACUCUGGGAUAACUGCGGGAAACUGUAGCUAAUACCGGAUACGACCCUCGGAGGCAUCUCCUGGGGGUGGAAAGAAUUUCGGUCAAGGAUGGACUCGCGGCCUAUCAGCUAGUUGGUGAGGUAAAGGCUCACCAAGGCGACGACGGGUAGCCGGCCUGGGAGGGUGACCGGCCACACCGGGACUGAGACACGGCCCAGACUCCUACGGGAGGCAGCAGUGGGGAAUAUUGCACAAUGGGCGCAAGCUUGAUGCAGCAACGCCGCGUGAGGGAUGACGGCCUUCGGGUUGUAAACCUCUUUUAGCAGGGAAGAAGCGAAAGUGACGGUACCUGCAGAAAAAGCACCGGCUAACUACGUGCCAGCAGCCGCCGUAA